rnacentral:lncRNA from 1 species
UGGACGAUGCUCUUGUUUAGUCUCCUCAUGUUGUUCUUCACUCCUGCUUGAGCUUUUAUAAGUGUCAUUUGCUGCAAACAUGAACCGAUUAGAGAAAAGGUCUCAAUUCUACACGGUACAUGAAUUAUGGAAGCCGAAAAUCAAAGUAUUUAUCUGAUAAUGCUAAUGUGUCACUUUAAUUUUAUCGGGACGAAGAUGGUUGAACCGCCAGGUGAGCUUGACAUGUUUCUGCUAAUGCAUUCAUGCUUAUAUGAUUUUUUUUGCAUGGUUUUAAACAAGGAAUAAUUGCAUAUUUCCCCUUAAAAUGCUUCACAAUUGCAUAUUUACCCAACCAAAACUAAAAAGUGCAUAUUUCCCCUUCUUUAUCUAAAUUACAAAAUUGCCCUUUUCAAAAUUGAGAAUGUUUUAUCAAAUUAUGAAAUCAAAAAAUUAAUCAGUUUUAGUUUGUUGUAAUUUGUUAUGUUUUGUUACUGUAAAAAAUUAAUCUUGAAACUUAUCAAUUAAUAUAUAUGAAUUAUCGAUUCGUCACUUCAAAUUUUGAAAUAAAAAAUCUUUAACACCUAUAGAAUCAUUAAUGAAAGACAUAAAAGUCUCUUAAAACUUUUGCUUCAUUUUAGAGAAAACCUGCAACUCAUGGACCCAAUCAUCGAGAUCAUCUGUUAUACUAUUAUAUAAAUGCACUUUCAAGCUUGUGUUACCAACUAAUGGAUCCAAUCGUCAAGAUCUCGUCAUCAACGAAUGCUGAAAUGUGACUUCUUCUUCGUCACCGGAACUCGGAAGACAAAGCUUUGCCUUCGUCAAGAUCUCGUCAUCAACGAAUGCUGAAAUGUGACUUCUUAUAGAUGUAGAUUCCAGAAUGUGUUUGAUGUAUUUUGAGGGUGAAUGGCUCAAUCACCAAAAACUAGUAAAAGAAAGGGUAAAAUAUGUAAUUUUCUAAAUUCUAGUAAAAUGAAGGGUAAAAUAGUCUUCCUAUAAUUUAAUUUUAAUAAAUUAAAUCAAAAUGGGUAAAUUUGUAAUUUUACUAGUUAAUAGAGGGGAAAUAUGCAAUUUAAUUUUUGGCUCGGGUAUAUAUGCAAUUUCAAAGUUUUUUAAGGGGAAAUAUGCAAAAAACCCUUUAAACAAUGCUAGACCAAUUUAAGUGAAGGUGACAAUUUUGACCCAUUUACUUAUGAAUCGGUCAAAUGGGUUGAAUGAGCUGAAAGUUGCCCGAAGUCUCAAUUAUUGUUUUUUUAGACUCGUUGCUUGUAAAUUAACUAGUCGAUGCCCCGCCCGCGUUGCGUGGCGAUGGCCGAAUAAUUCUCAAUCAAUUAAAAAAAGACUACUAUAAUUUU